AUUGAACGCUGGCGGCAUGCUUUACACAUGCAAGUCGAACGGCAGCGCGGGGCAACCUGGCGGCGAGUGGCGAACGGGUGAGUAAUACAUCGGAACGUACCCAGAAGUGGGGGAUAACGUAGCGAAAGUUACGCUAAUACCGCAUACGUUCUACGGAAGAAAGCGGGGGAUCUUCGGACCUCGUGCUUUUGGAGCGGCCGAUGUCUGAUUAGCUAGUUGGUGAGGUAAAGGCUCACCAAGGCGACGAUCAGUAGCUGGUCUGAGAGGACGACCAGCCACACUGGGACUGAGACACGGCCCAGACUCCUACGGGAGGCAGCAGUGGGGAAUUUUGGACAAUGGGCGCAAGCCUGAUCCAGCAAUGCCGCGUGAGUGAAGAAGGCCUUCGGGUUGUAAAGCUCUUUUGUCAGGGAAGAAACGGCUGGGGCUAAUAUCCCCGGCUAAUGACGGUACCUGAAGAAUAAGCACCGGCUAACUACGUGCCAGCCGCCGCGGUAACAC
rnacentral:rRNA from 1 species